ACCUAUUGAACAUAUACUUUAGUGCUCGCCAACACAGUGAGACGUGGGCAACAAAGAAGCCUUAUCAACUGUUAUCCUGUAAUGUGCAUCAUCUAACGCAAAAUUAAUUGAAGAAAGUUAGCCAGCUAUGGCGGCAUCGAUUCUUUAUGUUGAAUAUAAAGUAAACUGAUCAUUUUAUGUGGUGCAAUCUUACUGUAAUCAGGAAAUUGUUCCGCUGUAAGCGAGAGAGAGUCCUUCGACUCCGGAAGUUAAUCGGAAAAUGCCAAUUUCCAACCGGUACUAACCAUAAUGACCAUGGUAUCGAACAAUGAGGUAUCAUGCGCUUUAUCCGAAUGCGCCUAACCGAAUCGUCCAUUAAAGAAAAAAAUGGUGACGCUGUUUAUGUAUGGAAAAGGAACGCAAGCAAAUUAUAAUUUAAUAGGAAGGUGAAGUUUGAUGUUCUCAACAUGUUCUCCAUCAGGUCCAAAAAUCUGAAUUCAAAUUCCAGAAUACAUACUUUGCCAGAGGAACCCAACUGUGUGACUCAACUGGUCUACAGUUCUUCGGUUAGAAAAAGCUAAAAUUAUGUUUGCAUACUGGUGUACAACAAACUUUUGAAAUCCUUAGUUUUAUCCUUACUUAGUGUUCUGUGCUCAAAAUGUCAAGUUUCACUUAAAUUAAUGGCUUCAUUUUGAGCUACAAGUUACAAUUGUUUUAUGUAAAUGAUUAGCAGGAGUACUCUGCCUAGCUGUUGUAAUUACUUACUUUUGGAAGAAAGUGCAUAACAUUUAUUAGGAGUCAGACCAAAAUGAAAUGAACGGAAAUGAAAAUUAUUCUGCCUUGUUACCUUUUGCUCACCUUCUCUUGAGAGAAGAUGCUGCCCAGGUUGAAAUUCAACGGUGUCAAAUAAGCUAAGGUAGCAAAAAAAUGACGGAGAAAGCUCUUGACAGAGGCAUUUUGCUUGUUGUAUAUGCACAAAUAAGUUCAAAAAUGAACCGUAUUACAUAUCAUACUAUACUUACGUAAUAUAAGAAUAUGGUUGAAGGAUAAUUUAAAAUUCAAAUAUCUUUCUGUGGAGUUGGCGAAAAAAUACUUUCUUUUCCUUUUCCAGAACGUAAAACUUUUAUUCAGCCAGCGAUGACGAUGGUUUUCAGUAGUGCAUACGUACUUGUGUAAAAAUUGCAUUCUCGCACACCCUAAAUCUCAAAAUGAAAUAAGCCGAGAUUUUGACGACUAUAAAUGUAAGGAUGUCUCUUUUCAUAUCUGUCUGCUUUGUUGAAAAUCUGGAGAAAGUAAAUGUUGCCCUGUUCUAGAAAAACUUGAGUCCAAGCACAUGCACAAACCAACCAUAAACGUUACGUAAAUUAGAACGAGAUUCCUGUUUGUUGGCGGACAGGACAUUAUUUGUAUGAAGAUGAAUGCCAAACAACUGCCGAGGCAAGCAAUGUUUUCUUCACCUGUUUAUUCCGACCCGAAUUGCCGAUUCUGAAAAAUCUAAUCUUGAGACAGACAUUUGGGCCAUCCCCAUGAAACCGAAACAGUCUUCUCGGAUGUUUUCUCAAAGAUAUUCCUCCAUUUCCUCCCCAUUUUUACCUCCUCCACAUCUCUCGGGCAAAACACUGAUAUUACACCUGAACCCAAUCUUCUUUGCAUAACCAAAAGAUUAAGGCUGCGGUUGUGGCACUUGUUUACUCUCAGAUUGCUUAACCUUAAGUUAACCUAGUGCUGGCACAUUUUUGUAAUCAUCAUUCCUAGAAUAUGCAUAUACCAUUUAUAAACUAAUAAAUCUCGGUAUAUAUGCAUCAGAUGUGCACCGAUAAUUCGCCCGAUCCUGCUUACACAAAAAAUUACGAAGAAAGCUUUAGUAUUCAGCUAAGCAUUCCUUGUGUCCCUAGAUUUAAGAACUUGUCAAGUUUAGUUUGCCAUGAACUUUCAAACUUUUCACAUCAUUACUGUAAAAUAAAGUCGUGUCAUCCAAGAAUGGAAAAGCUAUCUGUUUAAUCAACUCAUCUCUCUCUCGUGUCUAGCUUGUCAAGUUUGUUACGAGUGAUAGAUUGAGACGUAGUCCUGUAUUAGAUUGGGUACGUAGUUGUUGUUCUUAUACAUAAAGACCGUAUACGCAAUGCCAUAAAAAUUCAGCCAGUGAAUUGUGAGGAUUAUUAAAUAUCAGCGAACUACAUAUUAUUGCAUGUUACGGAAGGUGAAGUGAAUUUUUGGACCUAGCCCAAAGAAUAUGCAUGAAUGAUAUCAAAAAGUCGCCACCCGUGAAUAAGAAGGUUGUUUACUCUUGCUUGUGCAUGUACUGUGCAAAAGCACCACAUUUCUGGAGUCAAAGAGUCCUUUCAUACAGCUAUCGUAGCUACAUGUAUUUUGAAGUAUAUACUUCAAAAUUGUGAAUUGAAGCAACGAUUUCUCCUUCUUAUGUACGUACCUACGUGUGACUAUGUCUAUCAUCUAUAAUAUAUUUUUGAAAUGAUCCGUGAAAUAAGUCCUGCCUUAUUACUAUUCACCCAAACACAGCGACUUGCUGAAAUGACCUUCCUUCCAUACCACAAUUUUCCCAGGAAGCAAACUAUUUGAAUCGCAUCAUUUUAUAGCAUUCGCGAGGCCUAUGUCACGAUAUCGCCAGGAGCACCUCAAUUACUCAUAGACGACUAGGAAACCAUUCCCGAGGGAUGGAUACAUUGUUGCAAAUAGAUAUAGUCAUGAACCAGAAACUGAACUUAUCUAUGAGUUGGUUGUAAAACUUUCUUCGCGUGUA